AAGAAGGCAGAGUACUAAAGAAUUGGUGCCUUCUAACUGUGUUGUUAGAGGAUACUCCCGAGAGUCCCUUGGACAGCAAGUAAAUCAAACUGGUCAAUAUUAAGGGAAACCCACCCUGAAUACUCACUGGAAGGACUGAUGCUGAAGUUGAAACUCCAGUAUUUUGGACAUCUGAUGCAAAAUGUUGACUCAUUGGAAGAGUCCCUGAAGCUGGAAAAGAUGGAGGACA